rnacentral:rRNA from 1 species
UGGGGAAUAUUGCACAAUGGGCGCAAGCCUGAUGCAGCCAUGCCGCGUGUGUGAAGAAGGCCUUCGGGUUGUAAAGCACUUUCAGCGAGGAGGAAGGUGGUGAGCUUAAUACGCUCAUCAAUUGACGUUACUCGCAGAAGAAGCACCGGCUAACUCCGUGCCAGCAGCCGCGGUAAUACGGAGGGUGCAAGCGUUAAUCGGAAUUACUGGGCGUAAAGCGCACGCAGGCGGUUUGUUAAGUCAGAUGUGAAAUCCCCGGGCUCAACCUGGGAACUGCAUUUGAAACUGGCAAGCUAGAGUCUCGUAGAGGGGGGUAGAAUUCCAGGUGUAGCGGUGAAAUGCGUAGAGAUCUGGAGGAAUACCGGUGGCGAAGGCGGCCCCCCUGGACGAAGACUGACGCUCAGGUGCGAAAGCGUGGGGCAGCAAAAGCUGAUAGAUACCCUGGUAGUCCAGCGCUGUAAAACGAUGUCGAUUUGGAGGUUGUGCCCUUGAGGCGUGGCUUCCGGAGCUAACGCGUUAAAUCGACCGCCUGGGGAGUACGGCCGCAAGGUU